rnacentral:pre_miRNA from 1 species
AGAGGUAGUAGGUUGCAUAGUUUUAGGGCAGUGGUUUUGCCUAUAAGGAGUUAACUAUACAACCUGCUGCCUUUC